rnacentral:rRNA from 1 species
AGGACAAACGCUGGCGGCGUACCUAAGACAUGCAAGUCGAACGGGCGCUUCACCUUCGGGUGGGUGUGCUAGUGGCGGACGGGUGAGUAACGCGUAGGAACCUGUCAUCAAGAGGGGGGAUAACGCUGGGAAACCGGCGCUAAUACCGCAUGUGGUCAUGAAAAUGAAGAAAGCAGCAAUGCGCUUGAUGAGGGGCCUGCGUCCGAUUAGCUUGUUGGUGGGGUAAAGGCCUACCAAGGCAUCGAUCGGUAGCUGGUCUGAGAGGAUGGUCAGCCACACUGGGACUGAGACACGGCCCAGACUCCUACGGGAGGCAGCAGUUAGGAAAUUUUCCCAAUGGGCGCAAGCCUGAGGGAGUAACGCCGCGUGGAGGAUGACGGCUUUCGGGUUGUAAACUCCUUUUCUGUGGGAGAGUAGAAGACGGUACCGCAGGAAUAAGCCUCGGCUAACUACGCGCCAGCAGCCGC